AUUGAACGCUGGCGGCAUGCUUUACACAUGCAAGUCGAACGGUAACAGGCCUUCGGGUGCUGACGAGUGGCGAACGGGUGAGUAAUGCAUCGGAACGUACCCAGAGGUGGGGGAUAACGCAGCGAAAGCUGUGCUAAUACCGCAUGUGAUCUGAGGAUGAAAGCGGGGGACCGAGCAGCAAUGUUUGGCCUCGCGCCUUUGGAGCGGCCGAUGUCGGAUUAGCUAGUUGGUGGGGUAAAGGCCUACCAAGGCGACGAUCCGUAGCUGGUCUGAGAGGACGACCAGCCACACUGGGACUGAGACACGGCCCAGACUCCUACGGGAGGCAGCAGUGGGGAAUUUUGGACAAUGGGCGCAAGCCUGAUCCAGCAAUGCCGCGUGCGGGCAGAAGGCCUUCGGGUUGUAAACCGCUUUUGGCAGGAACGAAACGGUGUCCGCUAAUACCGGGCGCUAAUGACGGUACCUGCAGAAUAAGCACCGGCUAACUACGUG
rnacentral:rRNA from 1 species